UGCAUAUCCAAAUAAGCGGAGGAAAAGAAAAUAACAAUGAUUUCCCUAGUAACGGCGAGUGAAGAGGAAAGAGCUCAAAGUUGGAACCUGUUUGGCCUAGCUAAACCGGAUUGUAGACUGUAGAAGUGUUUUCCAGGCAAGCCGAGUAAAUAAGUCCUUUGGAACAGGGCAUCAUAGAGGGUGAGAAUCCCGUCUUUGGCUUGAGCAUUUGCCUUUUGUGAUACGCUUUCAAAGAGUCAGGUUGUUUGGGAAUGCAGCCUAAAUUGGGUGGUAAAUCUCACCUAAAGCUAAAUAUUGGCGAGAAACCGAUAGCGAACAAGUACCGUGAGGGAAAGAUGAAAAGAACUUUGAAAAGAGAGUUAAACAGUAUGUGAAAUUGUUAAAAGGGAACCGUUUGGAGCCAGACUGGCUUGUCUGUAAUCAAUCUAGGCUUCGGCCUGGAUGCACUUGCAGGCUAUGCCUGCCAACGACAAUUUGACUUGAGGGAAAAAACUAGGGGAAAUGUGGCCCACUUGUGGGUGUUAUAGUCCCUUAGAAAAUACCUUGGGUUGGAUUGAGGAACGCAGCGAAUGCUUAUUGGCGAGUUUUCCAGGAAGGUUUUCUGAGGUACUACGGUAUCAAGGUUGAUCUUUUUGGUUAUACUUCUAUUCGCUUAGGUUGUUGGCUUAAUGACUCUAAAUGACCCGUCUUGAAACACGGACCAAA
rnacentral:rRNA from 1 species